rnacentral:lncRNA from 1 species
UUUGCACAAUUAGUAUUAUCAAUAUUAUUAAUGUAAAGUUAUAAAAGGCAAUUAACAUUUAUUAUAAGAUUUUAAAUCACUAAAAUGCAACAUUUAAUUUCGUUUUGAAUUUCACUCUCCAUCUAAAAAAGGUAACAUUCAAAUUUUGAACAUUGAUUUCCUUUUAAAAUCAUUAAUAUUUAUUGACUCAGUUUUAAUUCCUAUUAAAGCUCAAUUAUAUAAGAUAACUAACGUUUGCUUCCAUUUAAAGAAUGUAAAGUUCAAUUAUAUAAGGCAACUAAAGUUUGCUUCUAUUUAAAGAAGGUAAAAUUCAAUUAUAUAAAGCAACUAAAGUUUGCUUCCAUUUAAAGAAGUAAAGCUCAAUUAUACAAGGCAGUUAACGUUUCCUUCCAUUUAAAUGUUAGUUGCCUUAUAUAAUUGAGCUUUACCUUAUUUCAAUGGAAGCAAACGUUAGCUGCCUUAUAUAAUUGAGUUUUACCUUAUUUCAAUUGAAGCUAACGUUAGUUGCCAUAUAAAAUUGAGCUUUAUCUUAUCUCAAUGGAAGCAAACGUUAAUUGCCUUAUAUAAUUGAGCUUCAAUAAGAAUUAAAAUUAAGUGAACAUAUAUUAAUGUUUUAAGGAAAAUCAAUAUUCAAAAUUUGAAUAUUACCUUCUUUAGAUGGAAAGUGGAAUUCAAAAUGAAAUUAAAUUCUUAAUUUCAGUGAUUUAAAUCUUCUAAUAAAGGCCUAACCUUUAAUUUCACCCUGAACUUUCCGAAUAGUUACAAUUUCACUCUAAAUCAAUUUUUGUACCCUAAAAACCCUGAACUUAUCAAUCUAGUUACAAUUACACCUUAAAAGAUUAAGGUGUAAUUGCAACUAAAAGUGAAUUACGACAACCUGAACUUAUCAAUUCGUUGCAAUUGCACUCUAAAAAUAAACUAUGGUCGAAAUUUUAAUUAAAAAUAAAUAAAUGGACUCCAUACCCUAGUAUUUAAACAAUACUAGCAAAAUCAAACCCAAGUAUUCCUAUAAUAAAUAAAAAAAAAUAAAAAUUGAAUAUUUGAUUUUAAAAUUGAAUCAAUUUUAAAAUGCAAAAAUAAUGAAUUGGCUAUGAAGUCAAAUUAGAGUGUAAUUGCAACGAGGUUGAUAAGUUCAGGGUACUCAGGAUACAAAGGUUGAUUUAACGUAAAAUUACAAUUAUUUGAAAAGUUCGAGAUGAAAUUAAAGGCUAGGCUUCCGAUAAAUGUUAACUACCUUUUAUAAGUCUAACUUAAUAAUAUUAAUAAUACUAAUUAUGCAAAAAAAUGUUAUUAUUACCGGCAAGCUGUUGGUUGAGGUGGUAAGCGACCUCAAUCUCCGUUCAUAUGGAUGAGAACACAAGUUCAAUCUCCGGAAAAUGCAUUUUGCUGAAGGACUAAAAACCUCUAUGCUCUACUGUCCAAGGAGAUCCUGGGUAUAAAAAAAGUGUUAUUAUUACAUUAAUAAUAAUUAAAAUAAUGAUGCCUGUAAUUUAAUUGUUGCCAAAUAUUCUUUCUCCAUUAUUACUCAGUUUUUGAAAUUGUAUAAUUUCAUUUUCUUUAUUAAAUUUUAAUAAAUAUUCAUUCAGUUUGAAACUGUAUAACUUAAAUGAUGCCACGGUGAAGCCAAAGAGUUUCUUACUAUUCAUGAUUCUAACUAAUUUUUCAAUUGAAACGAAAUUUUUUCAUGGACAAUUCAAUUAAUUAUAUAUAUACUUUAUAUCAGAUGAAAGAAAGAUAUUCAAUAAUCCAGUAAAUAUCAACUUAAUGACGAAUAAAACACAGUUAAAAAAAGACUGGGAAAUCAAUCAACAAAACUUUCAAACAAUUUAAACUUUGAAAACUACUGAAAAAGAAAACAAUAAUAAUAGCUAAUUAGAGUAUAUAACUUUUGAAGAACAUAUACUCCAAUAACAAAAAUAAGAAUGCUUUCUCUUCACUGAUUCCUCGAGAAGAGAGAGCAUUUAAUGCAGAUCAAUUAUUUGUUUGUUUGUUUGUCCUUGCUGAUGAAAAUGAUUUCAAAUAACAAAAUUCCUAAAAACAUGUAAAAAUAGGAAAGGAGAACAAAUUAUCAUGCGAGAUCUAGCCAUACAAAACAUGAAGAUGAGUUUAAAUAUCUCAAAUAUUCUCAAACUGACCAAAUUGAAUUUCACAAAAGGGAAUCAAAAUUUUUAAUUAGAGAACUCAAAUUUUCAUGUAGAGAUUCAUUGACAUGAGAUCACAAUUCCGUAAUAAUAAGUAAUAAAUUCUUCGAGGUAGCUGAUGCAUCUCUAGUGAGAUGUUAGCCUUUACACAAUGCAAUAAAAUUAUAUCACUUUCACAUAACUCUUUUACAACAACAUAAAGCCAAUAUCGGAAUCGUUCAAAAUAUCAUGUUUACCCUCUAUCCACCAAGGAAAACACCAUUAAAAGAUAAGGGUAAAUUCCAAAGCAUUGAAAUGAUAUCAUUACAAAAUAUGAUAGUAACUGUAAGAUAGGAGCCCUUACAAACCCAUUCCGGGACUAACUCCAUUAUCUAUGAACAUAUAUAGCCGAAUUCCAAUUUUAAAGUAAGCAGUAAAUAGAAGAAAUCAGAGAAGCAAAUAACAGAUAACAGCACUAACACAGAGCAAAAUAAGCAGACAAAUCAGAGACCAAUAUUGAUAAACCGAUAAUUAAUUAAAAUAAAAAAAAAAUGAGAAUAGUAUAAAGAGAAGGAGAGAGAGAGAUUGAGACAUACUUCUAUGGGACGUCGACCAUAUCGACAAAUAAUCAAUGUUUACAAAUUCCUUCUCUUUCAAUUUCAAGGCAACCAAUAAAUAGAAGAGAUCAUAUAAACAAAUAGAUAGCUUCUAACCUUUAAUCCCAAUUGUAAAAUUAUGUUGGUGGGCAAUUCUGGCUAGGGCUUAAUCGGAAAGGAAAAGAAGAAGAUGGUGAUAGUGAUAUUUUUCUUUCUAUGUUAAUUGGCAUCGACUAAUCGUCGUAGCGAAUUAGACAUGGGAGGAGAAAAUGAACGGAGAGGGAAAAAGGGCACUUGAAGAUGUACGGACACUGAGAGAGAGGUUGUAGGUUAUUAAAAC